UUUCCGUAGGUGAACCUGCGGAAGGAUCAUUGAAUCUAUCAAUAACAACCACGUGAAACAUCUUGUCUGGCCCUUCAACGUCAAGUUGAGGCGUCUGUCGCACCAUUCACUUGGUGCUUCGGACGGGCUCGGUCCCUCUGGCCCUCACGGGCUGAGGGUCCGGGUUGGUCUUUGUCCAACCAUUAACACCCAACCAAUACUUUCUGAAGUGAUAAUGCAGCCGGCAUUGCCGUUGCAUCCAAACUGAGACAACUCUCAACAACGGAUAUCUUGGCUCUC
rnacentral:misc_RNA from 1 species